UACGUAGGGGGCAAGCGUUGUCCGGAAUCAUUGGGCGUAAAGAGCUCGUAGGCGGCUUGUCACGUCUGCUGUGAAAACUCGGGGCUCAACCCCGAGCCUGCAGUGGAUACGGGCUAGCUAGAGUGCGGUAGGGGAGACUGGAAUUCCUGGUGUAGCGGUGAAAUGCGCAGAUAUCAGGAGGAACACCGGUGGCGAAGGCGGGUCUCUGGACCGAUACUGACGCUGAGGAGCGAAAGCGUGGGGAGCGAACAGG
rnacentral:rRNA from 1 species